rnacentral:lncRNA from 1 species
CCCUGGGGCGGGGGUGCGAGGUCGGGGGUCCCAGUGCCCCCGGAGACGUGGGGUGGGGGCGGGUGUUGCCUUUCCCUCCCUGGGCCUGGGGCCGGCAGGGGACAGAGCAGGGGCAGCGGCCAGGCUGCACUCAGGCCUCUGCCGGCCCCUGGCAGCUCCUCGGCCCCGAGGCUCAGCGGCUCAGCCUGGGGGCCCGGGUCUCCACAUCGGCUUCUCAGAGCUUGCUCCAGCUGGAGGGAAAUGCGGGCGACGGGGACGAGAGAGUGAGGCUGUCGCUGUCCCGGGCCCACACCUGCCUCCAGGCCUCUGUGGCGCAUGAGGAAGGGAGCCAAGAAGAGAGCAUGGUGCUGCGGGCGUGUGCCCACAGGCGGGCGGCUGAGGCGGAGGCCCUGAUCCAGGCCAGUGGGCAGCCCGGCCAGCCCCUGGGACACCUGAGCCUGCAGGCCGCCAACCAGAGCCUGCGCUUGAGUGCACGCGGCUGCCCGGGGACCCUGCUGGGCCGCGUGGAGGUGAGCGGGCUGGGGUGGGAGGCUACCCUUCUCUCUGGGCCAAGGCCCCAGCGCCAGGAGCCCCGAACCCUUUGGGCCUAGCAGUGCCCCCAAACCCAGUGGCAGGCAGCCCCCGGCGUGGCAGGCACGUCCUUGGGCCCUGCUGCUGGCAUCCAGAACCUUCCACCCGCGUCAUUCCUGCGAGGCCCCACUGGAGCCCCGGCCUGUCCCUCUGUGUCCACAGUCCAGGGUUGCAGCCGUGGGGUCCCACCUGCAAGCCCAGCUGGAGGAGAAGCUGCGAGGCUUGGAUGCCUACGUGAGAAGGUUCCAGCACCUGGUGCAGCCGGCGGGCGCCCUGGAUGGUGUGGCAGGCCCCCUCCUGCAGCUGUCACAAGCAGGGUUGGGGGCCAUGCAGGCGAGUGGCCGGGCGGUGGCCGCGCUGUGGGGCCGGAGCCGGGCCAGGGCGCUGGUGCCCUACAUGCUGCUGCACCUGGAGAGGCCACAGGCAGCGCUGGACCAGCUGCGGGAGGAGCUGGAACGGCCCCUGGCCACACUGAAGGACGCCUACCUGGAAGUGACGCUGCGGCCCCUGGACGAGGUGUGGCGGGAGCGGGCCGAGGAGGCCGGGCAGCGGCUGUGGGCCUGGGUGUCGGCGAUGCCGUGGGCCUGGUGGCUGAGACCCAGCGAGGCAGCCCUGGAGGCCACGAGGGGCGCCCUGGAGCUGGUGAGGGGGGAGCAAGGGGGCGGGACGGAGGCCCCCCGGAGGCAGGGAUGGCCCCGAGGGCACUCACCACCUCGUCCCUCUCCAGGCCGCCCACCAGAUGCAGUCAUGGGCUGAAGCCACCUUGUCCCGGUCCCUGAGGCGGCUCUGCAGACCUUUGCUGGACCUGUACAGCUUCUCGGCCAGGUAGCUUGGGGCCCCUGUGUCCCUGCCCCAGGCCAGGAACCGGGCUGGAUGCGUUUCCCCCGGCCAUCUCAUUGACUCCUUACAAGAACCCCGCCACGCAGACGUUUCAAUCUCCCUUUUACAGAUGAAGAAACUGAGGCUCAUUCUUCUCUGCACAGAUAUGUUACAAGCACUUUCUCUGAGCAGGCGCCGGUUUAGGUGCAGCUGUGAAUGACACAGAGCCGUGCCCCCAUCCAGGCCACUGUUUACGUGGGGACGGGCACUAAUCACACUAACUAGGUUAUCCACACCGGCGGUGGGCAGACCUUUCUGUAAAGGGCUGGGGGUAGCAUUCAGGCUUCGUAGACCCGGUAGUCUUGCAGGUAUUCUCCGGUUUGGUUCCUUAAUACUCCCUUCAACGUGCAAGAGCCAUUCUAAGCUUGCAGGACGUCCCAAAACAGGACACAGGCCGGAGUUGGCCCACAGACCAUAGUUUACCAACUUUUCAUCUGGUACAUUAGGUGGCAAAGCCUACAGAAAAAAAUAAAGGGGGACAAGUGGGCUGAGGGGGCA